CUCAUUUGGGAAAGUAAAUCAAUUGAGAAUUAUAAAAUUAAUUCAAAUGAUAUGGGAAACCACUAACCACAUGUAAAAAAAAUAAGAAAUGUACCCACAAAUCAUAACAAAUAAAUUAGAAAAUAAUAAUCCUCAACAACUGCCAACUAGGAUUAUUCUCAUAUUAGCAUCAGCACAGUUCUGAGGUUCAUCCACACUUUCAAAAGAAAAAGGCUUUGCUUGAUCACAACGUUUCUGCCAGUUUGGUAUCUUACGUUACCAGAGGAGACAAAGUUGAGGGAGACACAUCACACAACCACAAUGCAUUGAAUUAAAAAAACUAAAACAUCCUCAUAAUAGAAUCAACACCUCAGCUUCUUCUUCUUCCUUCUUCUUUUAUUACAUAAUUGACAGCUUAUCAUCAUGACAUUUCGACCCACCAAAAAGAAAACAUCUGAAAAACCAUGUAUAUAGUUGGAGUUUUGGUGUUUGUGAUUGCUAUUUUUUUUUUCAGGGAUCCAGCUUGCUACCGGCAACAUCCACAACAAACCUAUAUCUGACAUCGUUUUUCUCCAGCCUUUCCAUUGCUGUGUUGAUGUAAUCCAUUUUUACCACUUCAAUCGUGGAGGUCAAUCCCUUUUCCUUGCAGAAUUCAAGCAUCUCCUCUGUUUCUUUCAUGCUUCCUAUGAAGCUUCCUGUGAUUGAUUUUCUCCCUACACAAAAAUUGCACCAAGAAAACAGAUUUUACACUUUUUUUUUUCUUUUUAUUGCUCCUAAUUGAAAAACAAGCAUGCUUUCAAUGUCUUCAUUGGAAUUUUCAAAGGCAAAGCAAAAGAAAAACAGAGCAAGCAAAUACCAACGAGAAGAAUAAUCUUCCAUUUUUGUCUAAACCUAGCAGGUAAAGGCCAACAACUGGAAACAAAAAAUUCCACAAAGGAUUUUCAAAAUCUAACAGCAAUCUCUAUCUGGAUAACCCAAGAACAAACAUAUAAUCUUUCCUUUUUGUUUAAAUUUGCAGUUAGAGAGAGAGACUCACCAAGCAUGACCAAAGGAGUGAGAAAUUGCAAUGGGGUAUUAAUAACACCCAUCAAAAUCAGCUUCCCAUCAAGUUUCAACAGAGAAAGAUAAGGCUCAAGAGGGUGAAAUACAGGUACAGUGUCAAUGAGAUAAUCAAGGGUAUCAGCAAAUUCUUGCAUCCGAGUUGCAUCAGAACUAACCAAGUACUCAUCAGCACCAAGAUGCUCCAAGGCCUCCUCCCUCUUUUUGUCUGAAGAACUUAUCACAGUAACAUGGUGUCCCAUUGCCUUCGCUAUCUUCACGCCCAUGUGCCCUACUCCUCCAAGUCCUAAUAUGCCACCUCUUAGUCCACUCUUCUUCAACCCAAAGUGGCUAAGUGGGCUAUACACUGUCAAUCCUGCACACAAUAGUGGUGCUGCUUGUUCUGGUGACAUCCCCUCUGGUAUUUUUACCACAAACUUUUGAUCUACGAUCAUGGAUUGGGCAAAGCCGCCCUGGGUGGGUUUUCCAUCGGUGUAGACAUCAUUAUAGGACCAGAUUUUCUUGUUGCAGUACUGCUCAAUAUCUGAUUUACAUGGGUUGCAACUCCUGCAACUUCCAACAAUACAUCCAACUCCAACUACAUCUCCCACUCCGAACUUAGUCACCUCUGAUCCCACCUCCACCACCUCACCAACCACCUCAUGCCCAGGAACCAUGGGAUAACGUGACAUGCCAAGAUCAUUCUUCACUUGAUGAAUAUCAGUGUGGCAGAUUCCACAGCUGAGAACUUUCAACAAAAUAUCCUCUGGGCCUGUGUUUCUGAUAGUGUAGGAAUAAGGAGAAAGGACCCCAGAUGGAUCUUUUGCUGCCCAUCCUACCACAGUUCUCUCAGUUUCAAGACUACCCAUUCUUGCCCUUACAAUCAGAGAGAGAAAGCACUAUAAAAGUUUUGUUGGGGAUCAGACGAAAAAGUACUAUAGAAAAACGUUAUAUAUAGAAGGAGGAAAGGAGACGAGAUUAAAGCCGAAAGCUUUCUUGGCCCAGGCUGAAUGAUGAUCUCAGCCGUG
rnacentral:misc_RNA from 1 species